GGACUACUAGGGUAUCUAAUCCUGUUUGAUACCCACACUUUCGUGCCUCAGUGUCAGAUGUGCCCCAGUAUGCUGCCUACGCUAUCGGGGUUCUUCGUAAUAUCUAUGCAUUUCACCGCUACACUACGAAUUCCGCAUACCUUGUCCAAUCUCAAGUUCAGCAGUUUCAACGGCAAUUUCCCUGUUAAGCAGGAACAUUUCACCGCUGACUUACUAAACCACCUACGCACCCUUUAAACCCAAUAAAUCCGGAUAACGCUCGCAUCCUCCGUAUUACCGCGGCGGCUGGCAC
rnacentral:rRNA from 1 species